AUAGCCUCCGAAUAACGGGAAGGUGAAAUAUAGGAACACCUUCUUGUUCAGACAGAGGCUUAUAUCAAAACCCGAAUCAGUUUUUGUGUGUGAAAAAGCUCUCUCCUUUUUUGCCCUUAAUAUCCUUCGAUGGAUAGAUUCGAACAUCU